rnacentral:lncRNA from 10 species
UUUCAGUAGACCCAGAUAGAAGGGCCUGGGACCUGAGGCACAUUCCUUUCCCCAACUGCCAAAACUGCCAUGCCAACAGGCAAGUGGUGCCUUUUCACCUUUAAAAAUUCUGAAUUGUGUAUUUGUUUUUGUGGCUUAGAAAUCGUAACAGAAAAGGGGGGCAUGGUGACUCAUGCCUGUAAUCUCAGCACUUGGGGAAGCCCAGGCAGGACUGCUUGAGACCAGGAGUUUGCAACCAGCCUGGGCAAUGUAGGGAGACCCCAUCUCUACAAAAAAAAAAUUAUUGGGGAGGCUGAGGUGGGAGGAUUGCUUGAGCCCAAGAGGUCAAGGCUGCACGGAGUUACGAUGUAUGAUGGCACCACUGUACUCCAGCCUGGGUGACAGAGGGACAACCUGUCUCAAAAAAGAAAAGAAAAAGAAAAAGAAAGAAAUGUUAACAGAAGGAUGAACCCUGCAACUGUGGUAUGGGCUGAAUGAGGCAGGUGGUAAAUGAGGCAGCCAGGCCCCCAUGGAAUGAAACCUCAUGUGUGACUGGAAGACAGUGCUGGUCUACUACACUAGCCCAUGCCACCCCAGGUCGCAGCAUGUGAAGGCAGGGCCCCUGUCUCUGUGCAGGAGGGACUGGCAAACCCCAGAGAGACAGGCAGCCACGACGGACCAACCCUGAGCCAGAGAGCACACAUAGGGCAGGGCCAUGGUGUGUGCCCCAAUUUGUGUUUUUGUGUCAUAUUCAGAUGUAAAGAGCUUAUUGAUUUAGUAAGCCCUUUGGUGACAUGAGCUGUCACCAACACCUGAGGACUGUGUGGGUGAGUUUGUUUCCUCUUUUUAUAUAUUACAGUAAAUAAUCUUCAGCAACUAUAUUCUCAAACACAGGGUUCUCUGAGAAAUCUCCUAUGCUUAUAACUAAGAUUUUUAAUAGAGAAGUCAUGUCUAUAUAAAAUAUGUUUAAGAAAACAUGACCUAUUUACAAAUGUUUUAGUCCAAAAAUCAAAAGUUUUUAAUCUAAAAAUCUGUCAGUGGGGAAAAAUGCCCCACUACGAUCUCUUUAUUUUGAUGAACUUAAUUUUGAAGUUUUAAAAUCACAGGAUUUAGUGCAUAAUUUGUGCAUGUUCUCUUGAGAGGGGGGUCUCAGUCUCUGCUUUCUGCCAGCUUUUACUUAGUUUUUCUGUAUUUAUUUCUCCAAUUACAGGAGUCUUUAUUUAUUUCCCUCAUUACUGGCCAUGUGAAAAAAAUGUAAAUACUUUCUUUUAAACAAACAUAUUAACAGAAUUUAUUGAUUCAAUUAAGUAGCUAACAAUAUGUAUAUUAAUUUUCUUUCUAUCUAUCAGUAUCUAGGACUGGUGUUAAGAGUCAUAUGAGGAAUGUGUUCUAGGGUGGAGCAGGGACAAUCUUUGGCUAAUGUGAUGUGGUGGGAGUUUCAUAGUAUAAACAGUGUGGAUUCUAGAACCAGAUACCUGGCUACAAAUCCCAGUCUGUCAUCUACUGAGAACAGGGCCUUGGGAAAAUCAUUUAGUCUCUCUGUGCCUCAAUUUCCUUAUUUGUCAUAGAAUCCACCUCAUAGAGUUAAAUGACUAUUUGUUAAGUGCUGAGAACAGUGCCUGUCUCAUAGAAAGUGCUCUCUCUUUCUCUCUCUCUCCCUCUCUCUCUCUCUCUCUAUAUAUAUAUGCAAACUUCUCUGCUAAGAAUGGGUAAUUUGGAGGGUGUGGCUUUUGAAUUGGUUCUUGAAGGUUGUACAGAAAUGCUAGCUUUAAAGAUACAGAAUAGAGAGGCAAGAGAUGAAGCGCACCGGUGAAGAGAAAGGAAGCAUUUCAGGGAGCAGUAAGCCACAGAUUGGCUGGACUGGAGAGGCUGACAAUGAGUGUGGGUACAGGACGGACCGGUAGGAUUACUAAAAGCCCCCAGCAUGGGAGGAGACCGGCCCUUCCUGCUGUGAAGAUGAGAGCCAACAAUUUUCCACAGAACUUCACAGUAUAUCCAGAGCAAUGCAGCCCUGUCAAUGUGUUAGAGACAUUAAGCAACUUUGGCUAAUUUCACAACAAAGGAAGAGGUGGGGUCAGAACUGGAAGAACCCUGAGCUUCUUUAUCCAGCACCAGGAUUGCCUAUACCAGUGGAAGUUGUUCAGUGGGAAGUUACACAAUCCAGCCCUGCUUGGAUGGUUAACCUGGGUUGUGGCAGUGAAGGAUUUGACCGUGGGAACUUAACAGGUUGGGAGAUCCUGGAGGAGUCUGUGAUACAGUAGAUACUGUGACAUGUCACCCAGGUCCCUCUUCAGGAAAGAAGGACUUACUCCCCCUCCCCGUCAGCUAUUGGUAGUGUCGCUGGCAGAAAGCCCUCAGAUGCCCACUAUUCUAAGAGGACCUCUUCCCCCAUUCCCUGGGCAGCUGUAUCCCAAGAUUGGUCCUGCAGGUACCUAACUGCAUGGCUUCCAUGCCCUACUCAAGGCAACUCUGAUGGGCCAUCCCAGUUCCAGAACUCCCAGUGGCAUGGGCUGAGGACUUCAGUGGGACUGCAUCAUAGCCCCAUUUCUUUCUCUGCCCACUUCUGCUUUCCUCCCUUCCCUUCCUCAUUGUUCAUCCCAGGAGCAAGCCCCGAUAAACUUCCUGAAUGCUCUUCUCUGCCUUGGAGUCUGUUUCCUGAGGAGCUUAACCUGCCUCUGUCUGAAGAAAUAUCACAGGGGAUUUAUACUCUUGGGACAGAACAUUGGUCACAAAACCUAAGUUUAACUGAGAAAAUAAAGUGGGAAGUCAAACAUUUAAAGCAAAACCAAUUCUCAGAGAAUGUGGAAGGCUUCCUGUUGGUGAAGAAGGACCAAGGCGCUGGCCGCAGGCAGUUACCUUUGUAAAAUGGCCGCCCAGUAAGAACAUCCCCUCGGUUAGCAAAGCCAGCCCCGCGGGGGCACAGCGUCUCGUAUUCCUUGGUGCCAGGUUUGGGGCACUCCUCACACUCGGUGCCCCAAGCCGCCCCGACAGCACAGCAGCAGGCAUCCAUGCGGAACUUUCCAGGAACGGGGUGGAUGCAUUCAUCUUCAUCCCACUUCAAGUAACACUGCUCCAUGCGAAUAUCUACACCGAGAACGAAAUCACAGGGUGAGAAUGAGUUGAAACAUCCAUUGAACAGUCACAUGUCAAGCGUCUGCUCAGCACCAGGCAUCAUGCAGGACCCUUGCGGUGUACUGGUGGGCAAGAUGCAGUCCCUGACCUCCUGGAAUGGACUCCAUAAUGACAGUCAUUUAAGGAGAACAAAGGUGAGAUCCUCUUCAGUCUUAAUUCUCACAAGAAACCCUCAGGAAGAAAAGGUCCUCUCAUGAGAUGACUGCUUCAUGUCUAUUACUCCUUUUUUGUAUUGUUCACUUUAGAAAAGGUAAGAUAAUUUUAAUGAUAAUUCUUCCUGUUCAGAGAAUUGCUUCAAGUGCCUUUUAAGCAGCCCUGUCAGAUCCCAUUCAUAAACAGUAAAUGAUCGGCUAUAAUCUAUUUGCCAAUUUGUUACAACUAUUAAGAUCACUACAAAAGAAAGUGUUAUAAUAUUAUUACAUUUAAAGUUUUUUUUUUUCUCCUGCCAACUUUACCUUUUGCAUCAUGGUUUUUCCCUGGAUUAUGUGAAUUUUCCGUUUUAAGGGACCAAUUAUUUGUUUAAAUGUCACAUUUUCCCUCCAACUUCAAAACAGACCAACAUUUCAGUGCUUAGCCUGUGCUAGCCAGGACCUUAGAAUAUCUAUAAACAGUCGCCUACAUCUAAAAAUAGAGUAGACCAGAAUGGUCUAUAAAUAACAUGUUCAUCUGUUAGCAAAUAGAUUUAUUUUCAAAUCAUACUAAAGCACUUGGCUGUUUAAUUACAAAUAUGGAUAAUGAGUUUGGAAACGGUUCCUUAAUCAAAUAGCAUGAUUUCUUUGAUAAGAACAUUUUAAGACAUUAAAUCCUUUCCAGAAGCUGAAAACUGUCUAACGGAGGGAAUGAGAUCCCUGAUGGAAAUGUACACAUAAAAAUUAAUGUUUACUACUUUAGUUACUGUCAAUAUUGAUUCUUUCAAGUUCUAAAAGGUAAUGAGUUACAUUUCUGAGUACUGGAAUUAAAAAGUUCUAUUUUUUUUCUUUCUUUCUUUCUUUUGAGAUGGAGUCUCACUCUGUUGCCCAGACCAGGUGUGGCGUGGUGGCUCAUGCUUAUAAUUUCAGCACUUUGGGAGACUGAGGCAGCUGGAUCACCUGAGGUCAGGAGUUCGAGACCAGCCUGGCCAACAUGGCGAAAACCCAUCUCUACUAAAAAUACAAAAAUUAGCUGGGCAUGGUGCUGGGUACCUGUAAUCCCAGCUACCUGAGAAAAAGUCCUAUUUUUAAGGAAAAAAUAACUGUGGUAAAUGUUUAUUUUGAUUCAGCAGACUGAAUGUAGAUAUCUACAGAAGGUGAUUCUGUCUUAUAUAUCUACAUUAACACAAACCAAAAAGCCACAUGCUUUGCCAGUGUGAAGUGUGAUAGUAAUCCAGCGUCUCAUUAUCACAGGGCUCUGAGGGGCUAGUCUCCUUAUAGCUGGUUCCGUCCCAUAUGUCAGCAGCUAAGUAAGAAUCUUCUCAAGAUGUGAAAGUCUUAUAUAAGUACAGGUGGCCUAAGAACUCUGGCCUGAGUCAUACUGUGAGGUUACUGAAGAAACCUGCUCAAGAAGCUCAAGACAAACUAAAAAUGUACCAUUUCAUAGCUUAUUGGAAUAAACUAGGGUGAGAGGGGAAAGGCAUCUGAACUAUGCAUGUAAAAAGUUAUAACAGCCAGGAAGAGCAAUCCUGUCUUUAAUACUGAGACCUCUAUGGAUGUUUAUAUCGGCAAUUAAAAGUCAGCACACUACUGAGAACUCUAUAUUUAUAUCAGGAAUUAAACGUCAGUACACUGGCCACAUAAGGCCUAUCAAUGCUGCGAUUGUCCUUGCAUGGAAAUUAAAAUAUGAAUUUGGAAACCUUUGGAUGGUCCAUGUUCUCUGAAGUUUGCUGCAGUCCCCACUGCUCCCUGUUGUCGCGUCACUCAUUUAUAUGUUACAUGCUUGGCUCCUGCAAGCAUCUGAGUUUGGGAUCCCUGAUUCAGAUGAGGUUCUAUCAGAGCAUUUACCAAAACUUUAGUUCUCAGAAUACUUUACAUUUUCAUGUGCCAGUUGCUUCUUGAAACUUUCUCACAUCCCCAGACAGAAUUAAUUAAUAUAGCAUAAUUCAAGUGGUGACAAAAGCAUUUAAGCAAAGUACAAGGAUGAAGAAUCCAAUAUAUCAUCUUAGAAUAUUAAAAAAUGCUUUUUUUUUUUUGAGACAGAGCCUCACUCUGUUGCCAAGGCUAGGGUAUAGUGGUGCGACCUCGGCUCACUGCAAUCUCCACUUCCCAGGUUCAAGCGAUUCUCCUGCUUCAGUCCCUCGAGUAGCUGGGAUUACAGGCAUGCAUCACCAUGCCCAGCUAAUUUUUAUAUUUUUAGUAGAGACGGGGAGGGGGGGGUUCCCCAUGUUGCCCAGGCUGGUCUUGAACUCCUGACCUCAGGUGAUCCACCUGUCUCAGCCUCCCAAAGUGCUGGGAUUACAGGCGUAAGCCACCACUCCCAGCCAUAAUUUUGAAUAAUGUUAUUGAAAAUUUAUUUUGCUGAGUAAUAAUUUACAAUCAAUGAUAUAUCUUCAUAUAUUAUAGCAUUUCAUUAUAGAAGGUAACUUGAUUUCAUUAGUCAUUUGGCCAUACUGAUAUUAUUAUUUUUGACAUUUUCUUUUUUUAAAAUUUCGAUAGUUUUGGGGGAAUAUUUUGUCAUUUUCAAAUGAUACUUAUUUCUAAACAUUGUAGAUCACUUAAAGAUAAUUUUUAAAAUAUUUAAAAAUCUGAAAGACAUUUUCUUUAUUUUUGUACUUUGGAUAUUAUGUUUUCUAAAUAAUUUUGUAUGAUUUUACAGUCAUGCUUCCAAUCCAGAUUUAAAUGUGCUAUCAAAAACUGAGUUAAAAAUGAAAUCUGUUUUAAUUAUAAUAACUGUAUGGUAUUGCAAACUUUUUUCUUACAGUAAAUUUUAAAAAUCACUGAUAUGUAAAUACUUUAAAGGUGAUUGCAUACACCACCACUAUUAUUUAUGCUUUGUCUACAUGUCUAAAUUUCAAAUACAAAUCUAUGUAAAGUUCUUUUAUAAACUAAAAAUUUACUGUUCCAUAGCUUAUUGGGGGAAAAAAAAUCUCUGUAGGUAAAUGAAAAAUUAUUGUUACAUACAAUGAAAAUUAAUAGAAAUUUCUUUUUCAAUCAUGAAAUUCAAGUUCAAACAUGACACUAAUAAAGAAAAA